GCUAUACAGAUGAAAAUGGCUAUUUCCAUCAUGCUGACCCUUACCAUUGUGCAUGGUGCCAGUGUGACGACUGUCCUAUUUGCAAAGAAACUGAGUUUCUUGAGAGGAGCUCCCUGCAGCUAGUCUGGGUGUAUGGUCACUAGAGAUAGCUUGAGCUGACAACUGAUUUCAGCCUGCAUUCCAUAGACAAGAUGUGGUGGGUGUAACCAAGAUAGAGAGCCUGGAGGAGUGGAACCAAACCCUUAUUGUGUCUAAUCAUCCUUGCAUCUGGAGGACUAAGCCAGGUUGGGGGAUAACCACAGAAGAACCCAAGGUGGCUUAUGAUUUGUAGUGUCAGAUAUAAGAACCAUGAUUCCUCUGCUCACUGGGCUCUCAACGAAUCACCUACGGGUGAGUCACUGACCAGCCUCAUUACGGCAGAGCACUCGCAUUGUUCUCGUGUGUGUGGUGUGACCUGCUCCUGUAUUCAUGUUUUCAAUAAAGUAAUAUCCUGAUUCUC